rnacentral:rRNA from 1 species
GUGUCAGCCGCCGCGGUAAUACGGAGGGAGCUAGCGUUGUUCGGAUAUACUGGGCGUAAAGCGCACGUAGGCGGCGCCGUAAGUCAGGGGUGAAAUCCCGGAGCUCAACUCCGGAACUGCCCUUGAAACUGCAGUGCUAGAAUCUUGGAGAGGCGAGUGGAAUUCCGAGUGUAGAGGUGAAAUUCGUAGAUAUUCGGAAGAACACCAGUGGCGAAGGCGACUCGCUGGACAAGUAUUGACGCUGAGGUGCGAAAGCGUGGGGAGCAAACAGGAUUAGAUACCCCCGUAGUCC